CUGACCGAUAGUGAACCAGUACCGUGAGGGAAAGGCGAAAAGAACCCCGGCGAGGGGAGUGAAAAAGAACCUGAAACCGUGUACGUACAAGCAGUGGGAGCACAGGUUUACCUGUGUGACUGCGUACACGCUCUGGGUCGGGCCGCAACCCACGCAGGUGACGCUCUUUGGCUUGAUUAGCCAGCCGGGCAGCCAGCCGUUCGUCCCUGGGCGGGACGUCGCCAGUUAUCUCGAGGGUCAGCGCUUACUCA
rnacentral:rRNA from 1 species